rnacentral:rRNA from 1 species
ACGUAGGAGGCAAGCGUUGUCCGGAAUUACUGGGCGUAAAGCGCGUGUAGGUGGUGGGACAAGUCUGCUGUGAAAGCGCCUGGCUUAACCGGGCGAGGUCGGCGGAAACUGUCCGACUUGAGGACGGUAGAGGGGGGUGGAAUUCCCGGUGUAGUGGUGAAAUGCGUAGAGAUCGGGAGGAACACCUGUGGCGAAGGCGGCCAUCUGGGACAACACUGACGCUGAAGCACGAAAGCGUGGGGAGCAAACAGGA